rnacentral:rRNA from 1 species
GCGUGAGUGAUGAAGGCCUUCGGGUUGUAAAGCUCUUUCACCCACGACGAUGAUGACGGUAGUGGGAGAAGAAGCCCCGGCUAACUUCGUGCCAGCAGCCGCGGUAAUACGAAGGGGGCUAGCGUUGUUCGGAGUUACUGGGCGUAAAGGGCGCGUAGGCGGCCUGAUCAGUCUGGUGUGAAAGCCCGGGGCUCAACCCCGGAAUUGCACUGGAGACGGUCAAGCUUGAGUGUGGGAGAGGAUGGUGGAAUUCCCAGUGUAGAGGUGAAAUUCGU